rnacentral:rRNA from 1 species
CGUGUAGGCGGUUGGUCAAGUCGGGUGUGAAAGCCUGGGGCUCAGCCCCAGAAGUGCAUCCGAAACUAGCCAGCUAGAGCGCGAUAGAGGAGGGUGGAAUUCCUGGUGUAGCGGUGAAAUGCGUAGAUAUCAGGAGGAACACCGGCGGCGAAGGCGGCCCUCUGGAUCGUUGCUGACGCUGAGACGCGAAAGCGUGGGGAGCAAACAGGAUUAGAUACCCUGGUAGUCCCACGCCUUAAACGAUGGGUACUAGGUGUUCGGGGUGUUGACCCCCUGAGUGCCGCAGUUAACGCAUUAAGUACCCCGCCUGGGGACUACGGCCGCAAGGUUAAA